rnacentral:rRNA from 1 species
CCUACGGGAGGCAGCAGUGAGGGAUAUUGGUCAAUGGGGGAAACCCUGAACCAGCAACGCCGCGUGAGGGAAGACGGUGUUCGGAGUGUAAACCUCUGUCCGCAGGGAAGAGAAGGACGGUAGCAGAGGAGGAAGCUCCGGCUAACUACGGGCCAGCAGCCGCGGUAAGACGUAGGGAGAAAGCGUGGUCCGGAUUUACUGGGUGUACAGGGUGCGGAGGCGGCCCUGCAAGUCAGAAGUGAAAUCCAUGGGCUUAACCCGUGAACUGCUUUUGAAACGGUAGGGCUUGCGUGAAGUAGAGGCAGGCGGAAUUCCCGUUGUAGCGGUGCACUGCGU